rfam:Stegodyphus mimosarum contig30705, whole genome shotgun sequence.
ACUUUCGUGGUGUAGUGGUCAGCACGCUCGGCUCGUAUUCGAGAGGUCCGUGGUUCGAGUCCCGGCGAGGGCA